GGGCUCGUAGCGCAGUGGUAGUGCGUGUGAUUCCAGACAAGGGAUAUCCACAAGGUCAUCCGUUCAAUCCGGGUCGAGCUCA